GAACAACCAGGAAGUUGCUGGAACCAAUUAAGACAGGCUAAUUAGGACACCUGGAGCCAAUUAAGAAGCUACCAGAAUCAAUUAGGACAGGCAGGCUAAUCAGGGCACCUGGUUUUAAAAAGGACCCCACUUCAGUUACUGAGGUGCGUGCAAGGAGCUGGGAGCAAGAGGCGUGCAAGAAGCUGAGAGUGAGUAGGCAUACUGCUGGAGGACUGAGCAGUACAAGCGUUAUCAGAUAUCAGGAGAAAGGUCUGGUGGUGAGGACAAAGAAGACCUGGACGAGCCAUCG